UAACACUAACUGGAGGACCGAACCGACUAAUGUUGAAAAAUUAGCGGAUGACUUGUGGCUGGGGGUGAAAGGCCAAUCAAACCGGGAGAUAGCUGGUUCUCCCCGAAAGCUAUUUAGGUAGCGCCUCGUGAAUUCAUCUCCGGGGGUAGAGCACUGUUUCGGCAAGGGGGUCAUCCCGACUUACCAACCCGAUGCAAACUGCGAAUACCGGAGAAUGUUAUCACGGGAGACACACGGCGGGUGCUAACGUCCGUCGUGAAGAGGGAAACAACCCAGACCGCCAGCUAAGGUCCCAAAGUCAUGGUUAAGUGGGAAACGAUGUGGGAAGGCCCAGACAGCCAGGAUGUUGGCUUAGAAGCAGCCAUCAUUUAAAGAAAGCGUAAUAGCUCACUGGUCGAGUCGGCCUGCGCGGAAGAUGUAACGGGGCUAAACCAUGCACCGAAGCUGCGGCAGCGACGCUUAUGCGUUGUUGGGUAGGGGAGCGUUCUGUAAGCCUGUGAAGGUGGCCUGUGAGGGUUGCUGGAGGUAUCAGAAGUGCGAAUGCUGACAUAAGUAACGAUAAAGCGGGUGAAAAGCCCGCUCGCCGGAAGACCAAGGGUUCCUGUCCAACGUUAAUCGGGGCAGGGUGAGUCGACCCCUAAGGCGAGGCCGAAAGGCGUAGUCGAUGGGAAACAGGUUAAUAUUCCUGUACUUGGUGUUACUGCGAAGGGGGGACGGAGAAGGCUAUGUUGGCCGGGCGACGGUUGUCCCGGUUUAAGCGUGUAGGCUGGUUUUCCAGGCAAAUCCGGAAAAUCAAGGCUGAGGCGUGAUGACGAGGCACUACGGUGCUGAAGCGACAAAUGCCCUGCUUCCAGGAAAAGCCUCUAAGCAUCAGGUAACAUUAAAUCGUACCCCAAACCGACACAGGUGGUCAGGUAGAGAAUACCAAGGCGCUUGAGAGAACUCGGGUGAAGGAACUAGGCAAAAUGGUGCCGUAACUUCGGGAGAAGGCACGCUGAUAUGUAGGUGAAGCGACUUGCUCGUGGAGCUGAAAUCAGUCGAAGAUACCAGCUGGCUGCAACUGUUUAUUAAAAACACAGCACUGUGCAAACACGAAAGUGGACGUAUACGGUGUGACGCCUGCCCGGUGCCGGAAGGUUAAUUGAUGGGGUUAGCGGUAACGCGAAGCUCUUGAUCGAAGCCCCGGUAAACGGCGGCCGUAACUAUAACGGUCCUAAGGUAGCGAAAUUCCUUGUCGGGUAAGUUCCGACCUGCACGAAUGGCGUAAUGAUGGCCAGGCUGUCUCCACCCGAGACUCAGUGAAAUUGAACUCGCUGUGAAGAUGCAGUGUACCCGCGGCAAGACGGAAAGACCCCGUGAACCUUUACUAUAGCUUGACACUGAACAUUGAGCCUUGAUGUGUAGGAUAGGUGGGAGGCUUUGAAGUGUGGACGCCAGUCUGCAUGGAGCCGACCUUGAAAUACCACCCUUUAAUGUUUGAUGUUCUAACGUGGGCCCCUUACCGGGGUUGCGGACAGUGUCUGGUGGGUAGUUUGACUGGGGCGGUCUCCUCCUAAAGAGUAACGGAGGAGCACGAAGGUUGGCUAAUCCUGGUCGGACAUCAGGAGGUUAGUGCAAUGGCAUAAGCCAGCUUGACUGCGAGCGUGACGGCGCGAGCAGGUGCGAAAGCAGGUCAUAGUGAUCCGGUGGUUCUGAAUGGAAGGGCCAUCGCUCAACGGAUAAAAGGUACUCCGGGGAUAACAGGCUGAUACCGCCCAAGAGUUCAUAUCGACGGCGGUGUUUGGCACCUCGAUGUCGGCUCAUCACAUCCUGGGGCUGAAGUAGGUCCCAAGGGUAUGGCUGUUCGCCAUUUAAAGUGGUACGCGAGCUGGGUUUAGAACGUCGUGAGACAGUUCGGUCCCUAUCUGCCGUGGGCGCUGGAGAACUGAGGGGGGCUGCUCCUAGUACGAGAGGACCGGAGUGGACGCAUCACUGGUGUUCGGGUUGUCAUGCCAAUGGCACUGCCCGGUAGCUAAAUGCGGAAGAGAUAAGUGCUGAAAGCAUCUAAGCACGAAACUUGCCCCGAGAUGAGUUCUCCCUGACUCCUUGAGAGUCCUGAAGGAACGUUGAAGACGACGACGUUGAUAGGCCGGGUGUGUAAGCGCAGCGAUGCGUUGAGCUAACCGGUACUAAUGAACCGUGAG
rnacentral:rRNA from 1 species